UACGUAGGGUCCGAGCGUUGUCCGGAAUUAUUGGGCGUAAAGGGCUCGUAGGCGGUUUGUCGCGUCGGGGAGUGAAAACCAGAGGCUUAACUUCUGGCUUGCUUUCGAUACGGGCAGACUUGAGGCAUGCAGGGGAGAACGGAAUUCCUGGUGUAGCGGUGGAAAUGCGCAGAUAUCAGGAGGAACACCGGUGGCGAAGGCGGUUCUCUGGGCAUGUUCUGACGCUGAGGAGCGAAAAGUGUGGGGAGCGAACAGG
rnacentral:rRNA from 1 species